rnacentral:rRNA from 1 species
UAGGGAAUAUUGGACAAUGGGCGAAAGCCUGAUCCAGCCAUGCCGCGUGAGUGAUGAAGGCCUUCGGGUCGUAAAGCUCUUUUCUGAGGGAAGAACAGCCGGGGGAGGAAAUGCCCCCGGCCUGACGGUACCUUAGGAAUAAGGGACGGCUAACUCCGUGCCAGCAGCCGCGGUAAUACGGAGGUCCCGAGCGUUGUUCGGAAUUACUGGGCGUAAAGCGCGUGUAGGCGGUUAGGAGAGUUGGAUGUGAAAGCUCCCGGCUUAACUGGGAGAGGUCGUUCAAAACUUCCUGACUAGAGUUUGGUAGAGGAAAAUGGAAUUCCGGGUGUAGUGGUGAAAUGCGUAGAUAUCCGGAGGAACACCAGUGGCGAAAGCGGCGUCCUGGGUCCCAACUGACGCUGAGGCACGAAAGCGUGGGGAGCAAACAG